UACGGAGGGUGCGAGCGUUGUCCGGAAUCACUGGGCGUAAAGGGCGCGUAGGCGGCCUGAUAAGUAGGGGGUGAAAUCCUGCGGCUUAACCGCAGGGCUGCCUUCUAAACUGUCAGGCUCGAGCACAGUAGAGGCAGGUGGAAUUCCCGGUGUAGCGGUGGAAUGCGUAGAGAUCGGGAAGAACAUCAGUGGCGAAGGCGGCUCUCUGGGACGGUACUGACGCUGAGACGCGAAAGCGUGGGGAGCGAACAGG
rnacentral:rRNA from 1 species